GACAGAGGGUGCAAACGUUUGUCCGGAAUCAUUGGGCGUAAAGGGCGCGUAGGUGGCCCGCUCAGCGUGCGGUGAAAGCUCGGGGCUCAACCCCGAGUCGGCCGUGCGAACUGGUGGGCUGGAGCACUGUAGAGGCAGGCGGAAUUCCGGGUGUAGCGGUGGAAUGCGUAGAGAUCCGGAAGAACACCGGUGGCGAAGGCGGCCUGCUGGGCAGUUGCUGACACUGAGGCGCGACAGCGUGGGGGAGCAAACAGG
rnacentral:rRNA from 1 species